AUGAAAUUUAUUCAGUCUUUCUCAAGUUCUAUAUUUUUUGUUUUUUUACUCUAUUUUGUGUUUUCUGUCUUUUUUUCCAAAGGUCAUUUAUUUUCUUGUCUUUGUACAUUUUCUGAUUUGAGUAUAAUGCUUUCGGUUUUUCCCUUCUUCCAGCACCAGCAGACGUUUCUGAAUCAACUACGAGAAAUUACAGGGAUUAAUGAUGCCCAGAUUCUACAGCAAGCCUUGAAGGAUAGUAAUGGAAACUUGGAGCUAGCAGUGGCUUUCCUUACUGCAAAGAAUGCCAAGACCCCUCAGCAGGAGGAGACCACUUACUACCAAACAGCGCUUCCUGGCAAUGACAGAUACAUCAGUGUGGGCAGCCAAGCAGAUACAAAUGUGAUUGAUCUUACUGGAGAUGAUAAAGAUGAUCUUCAGAGAGCAAUUGCCUUGAGUUUGGCGGAAUCAAACAGGGCAUUCAGGGAGACUGGAAUAACUGAUGAGGAACAAGCCAUUAGCAGAGUUCUUGAGGCCAGCAUAGCAGAAAAUAAAGAAUGUUUGAAGAGGACACCUACUGAAGUUUGGAGAGAUUCUCGAAACCCUUACGAUAGAAAAAGGCAGGACAAAGCUCCUGUUGGACUAAAGAAUGUUGGCAAUACUUGCUGGUUUAGUGCUGUUAUUCAGGAGCAUCGGAAUUUGCCUUUCAUGCGUGAGCUUCGAUAUCUAUUUGCACUUCUUGUUGGUACUAAAAGGAAAUAUGUUGAUCCAUCUAGAGCAGUUGAGAUUCUUAAAGAUGCUUUCAAAUCAAAUGACUCCCAGCAGCAAGACGUGAGUGAGUUUACACACAAAUUAUUAGAUUGGUUAGAAGAUGCCUUCCAAAUGAAAGCUGAAGAAGAGACGGAUGAAGACAAGCCAAAGAACCCCAUGGUAGAGCUGUUCUAUGGAAGAUUCCUAGCUGUGGGAGUGCUUGAAGGUAAAAAAUUUGAAAAUACUGAAAUGUUUGGUCAGUACCCACUUCAGGUCAAUGGAUUCAAAGAUCUACAUGAAUGCCUAGAAGCUGCUAUGAUUGAAGGAGAAAUUGAGUCUUUACAUUCAGAAAAUUCAGGAAAAUCCGGUCAAGAGCAUUGGUUUACUGAACUACCACCUGUGUUAACAUUUGAAUUGUCAAGAUUUGAAUUUAAUCAGGCACUGGGAAGACCAGAAAAAAUUCACAAUAAAUUAGAAUUUCCUCAAGUUUUAUAUCUGGACAGAUACAUGCAUAGAAACAGAGAAAUAACAAGAAUUAAGAGGGACGAGAUCAAGAGGCUAAAAGAUUACCUCACAGUAUUACAACAAAGACUUGAAAGAUAUUUAAGCUAUGGUUCGGGUCCCAAACGGUUUCCCUUGGUGGAUGUUCUGCAGUACGCCUUGGAAUUUGCCUCAAGUAAACCUGUUUGCACUUCUCCUGUUGAUGAUAUUGAUGCUAGUUCCCCAUCUAGUGGUUCCGUACCAUCACAGACAUUACCAAGCACAACAGACCAACAGGGAGCUCCUUCUUCAGAACUGCCAAGCACGUCACCCGUGUCAAUAGCUGCCAUUUCAUCAAGAUCAGUAAUACACAAACCAUUCACUCAGUCCCGGAUACCUCCAGACUUGCCCAUGCAUCCGGCACCAAGGCACAUAACAGAAGAAGAACUCUCUGUGCUGGAAAGCUGUUUACAUCGCUGGAGGACAGAAAUAGAAAAUGACACCAGAGAUUUACAGGAAAGCAUAUCUAGAAUCCAUCGCACAAUUGAGCUAAUGUACUCUGACAAAUCUAUGAUCCAAGUUCCUUAUCGUUUACAUGCUGUUUUAGUUCAUGAAGGUCAAGCUAAUGCCGGGCACUACUGGGCAUACAUUUUUGAUCAUCGUGAAAACAGGUGGAUGAAGUACAAUGAUAUUGCUGUAACAAAAUCAUCGUGGGAAGAGCUAGUGAGAGAUUCUUUUGGUGGUUACAGAAAUGCCAGUGCAUACUGUUUAAUGUACAUAAAUGACAAACCACAAUUCUUAAUACAAGAGGAGUUUAAUAAAGAAACUGGGCAGGCCCUUGCUGGAAUAGAAACACUACCCCCCGACUUAAGAGAUUUUGUUGAGGAAGACAACCAGCGAUUUGAGAAAGAACUAGAAGAAUGGGAUGCACAACUUGCUCAGAAAGCCUUGCAGGAAAAACUUCUAGCAUCUCAGAAACUGAGAGAGUCUGAGUCUUCUGUGACAACAGCACAAGCAGGAGAACCAGAAUAUCUAGAGCAGCCAUCAAGAAGUGAUUUCUCAAAGCACUUGAAAGAAGAAACCAUUCGAAUAAUUACCAAGGCAUCACAUGAGCAUGAAGAUAAAAGUCCUGAAACAGUUUUGCAGUCGAAACCUGAAAAUACCACAAGCCAGCCACCUUCUAAGCAGCAAGUUGUAGAGGUGGAGAUUCCUCAUGUAGGGACAUUUAUGAUUGAGUCAAAGGAGGGGGGUUAUGAUGAUGAGAUCAUGAUGACACCGAACAUGCAAGGUAUUAUCAUGGCCAUAGGUAAAUCCCGGAGUGUGUAUGACAGGUGUGGCCCUGAAGCAGGGUUCUUUAAGGCAAUUAAGUUGGAAUAUUCAAGGUUGGUUAAAUUGGCCCAAGAAGAUACCCCACCAGAAACAGACUAUCGUUUACAUCAUGUAAUAGUCUACUUUAUCCAGAAUCAGGCUCCAAAGAAAAUCAUUGAGAAAACAUUGCUAGAACAAUUUGCAGAUAGAAAUUUGAGUUUUGAUGAAAGGUGUCACAACAUAAUGAAAGUUGCUCAAGCCAAAAUUGAAAUGAUAAAACCUGAAGAAGUAAACAUGGAGGAGUAUGAGGAGUGGCAUCAGGAUUAUAGAAAAUUCAGGGAAACAACCAUGUAUAUCAUUAUUGGGCUAGAAAAUUUUCAAAGAGAAAGUUAUAUAGAUUCCUUGCUAUUCCUUAUCUGUGCUUAUCAGAAUAACAAGGAACUGUUGUCCAAAGGCCCAUACAGAGGACAUGAUGAAGAACUGAUAUCACAUUAUAGAAGAGAAUGUUUACUAAAAUUAAAUGAGCAAGCUGCAGAACUGUUUGAAUCUGGAGAGGAUAGAGAAGUAAACAAUGGUCUGAUUAUCAUGAAUGAAUUUAUUGUCCCGUUUUUGCCCCUGUUAUUGGUGGAUGAAAUGGAAGAGAAAGACAUACUUGCUGUAGAAGAUAUGAGAAAUCGAUGGUGUUCCUAUCUUGGACAAGAAAUGGAAUCAAACCUCCAAGAGAAGCUGACAGAUUUUCUGCCAAAGCUGCUCGAUUGUUCUACGGAGGUUAAAGGUUUCCAUGAGCCGCCUAAGUUACCUCCGUACUCCACACAUGAACUCUGUGAGCGAUUUACCCGAAUCAUGCUGUCCCUCAGUCGAACUCCUGCUGAUGGAAGAUAAACUGCACAUACU
rnacentral:lncRNA from 1 species